UACGUAGGGGGCUAGCGUUGUCCGGAAUCAUUGGGCGUAAAGCGCGUGUAGGCGGUUCGGUAAGUCCGCUGUGAAAGUCGGGGGCUCAACCCUCGGAUGCCGGUGGAUACUGUCGGACUAGAGUACGGAAGAGGCGAGAGGAAUUCCUGGUGUAGCGGUGAAAUGCGCAGAUAUCAGGAGGAACACCGAUUGCGAAGGCAGCUCGCUGGGACGUUACUGACGCUGAGACGCGAAAGCGUGGGGAGCAAACAGG
rnacentral:rRNA from 1 species